CCUACGGGUGGCAGCAGUGGGGAAUAUUGCACAAUGGGGGAAACCCUGAUGCAGCGACGCCGCGUGAGCGAUGAAGGAUUUCGGUAUGUAAAGCUCUAUCAGCAGGGAAGAAAAUGACGGUACGUGACUAAGAAGCGCCGGCUAACUACGUGCCAGCAGCCGCGGUAAUACGUAGGGGGCAAGCGUUAGCCGGAUUUAGUGGGUGGAAAGGGAGCGUAGACGGCGGUGCAAGCCAGAUGUGAAAGCCCGGGGCUCAACCCCGGGACUGCAUUGGAAGCUGGGCGGCUAGAGUGUCGGAGAGGCAGGCGGAAUUCCUAGUGUAGCGGUGAAAUGCGUAGAUAUUAGGAGGAACACCAGUGGCGAAGGCGGCCUGCUGGACGAUGACUGACGUUGAGGCACGAAAGCGUGGGGAGCAAACAGGAUUAGAUACCCUAGUAGUC
rnacentral:rRNA from 1 species